CCUUGUCCAGCCCUGGCAAUCACCAAUCUACCAUCUAAUUUGCCUGCUCAGGAUGGUUCACAUGAGGCUUUAUGAGGUGCUGACACUGCCCACUUCUAUGGUGGCAUGAGGUACUAGGGCCAAUUAAGGAACAUAGCGCCUCCUGGAGUUGGGGAAGAUAGGAAGCAGUUCUCCCCAGGACCUCCAGAGGGAGCACAACCCUGCCUAGACUGAGGUUUCAGUUAAACACCCUCCCUCCAGACUGUGUAAAAUGCUCCUGGGAGGCCCUGACAUGGCUUGGAAUCUUCAGAAGUCACUGCACUGACAGACAGAUCACAUGAGAACAACAGACUCAGCUGGAAGAGGCGCUACUGACAAGGAUCAAAAUGUCCCAUGCAGUCCCAGAAAGUGAAGUCUGUGUGGCUAAUAGACAAGUGGGUCUCCAGGCCCGUUGGAGGAAGAGCAGGCAAGCCUAAAAUUUUAUGCCUGAGAGCUCCACUGACAUGUACUGGAAGGCAAAGGCAUUUAUCACCCAGUGUCACAUGGCAGGGUCAUAAACAGUUAAUCUUCGACAAAGUGCAGAAGGAAGCAUUGUUGGAUACCCCUUCCAACAGAAAGAAUAAAUUAGGCUUAACUACCA